rnacentral:rRNA from 1 species
GAUGAACGCUGGCGGCGUGCCUAAUACAUGCAAGUCGAGCGAACAGACGAGGAGCUUGCUCCCCUGACGUUAGCGGCGGACGGGUGAGUAACACGUGGAUAACCUACCUAUAAGACUGGGAUAACUUCGGGAAACCGGUGCUAAUACCGGAUAAUAUAUUCAACCGCAUGGUUCAAUAGUGACAGACGGCUUUGCUUUCACUUAUAGAUGGAUCCGCGCCGCAUUAGCUAGUUGGUAAGGUAACGGCUUACCAAGGCAACGAUGCGUAGCCGACCUGAGAGGGUGAUCGGCCACACUGGAACUGAGACACGGUCCAGACUCCUACGGGAGGCAGCAGUAGGGAAUCUUGCGCAAUGGGCGAAAGCCUGACGGAGCAACGCCGCGUGAAUGAUGAAGGUCUUCGGAUCGUAAAACUCUGUUAGUAGGGAGGAACAAAUGUGUAAGUAACUAUGCACGUCUUGACGGUACCUAAUCAGAAAGCCACGGCUAACUACGUG